rnacentral:rRNA from 1 species
GAUGAACGCUGGCGGCAUGCCUAACACAUGCAAGUCGAUCGGUAAGGCCCUUCGGAGUACACGAGAGGCGGACGGCUGAGUAACGCGUAGGAACACACCCUGCAGUGAGGGAUAAGACACCGAAAGGUGUUCUAAUACCGCAUACGGUCUUCGGCUUAAAGCAUUUAUGCGCUGAAGGAGUGGCCUGCGUCAUAUUAGAUAGUUGGUGAGGUAAUGGCUCACCAAGUCGAUGAUGUGUAGCUGGUCUGAGAGGAUGAUCAGCCAGACUGGAACUGAGACACGGUCCAGACUCCUACGGGAGGCAGCAGUGAGGAAUAUUUCACAAUGAGCGAAAGCUUGAUGGAGCAAUGCCGCGUGCAGGAUGAAGGCUCUCGGGUUGUAAACUGCUUUUAUAAGAGAAGAUUAUGACGGUAACUUAUGAAUAAGGGACGGCUAACUACGUG